GAUUACCAAAACAAGCCUCCUAUUGGUUUCCCUGAUGAUGCUUUCCGUAAAAAUCUAGAAAGUGCUCUUUGUUUUGGUAACCCGCUACUGGUGCAGGACGUUGAGAGCUACGACCCAAUCCUGAACCCUGUGCUCAAUAGAGAAGUAAAGAAGACUGGAGGACGAGUUCUUAUAACUCUUGGAGAUCAGGAGAUUGACUUGUCACCUUCUUUCACCAUUUUCCUUUCAACGAGGGAUCCUUCUGUUGAAUUCCCACCUGAUCUUUGCUCUAGAGUCACUUUUGUUAAUUUCACCGUCACAAGGAGCAGUCUACAGAGCCAGUGCCUUAAUAGAGUUCUUAAAUUCAAGAGACCAGACAUUGUUGAGAAGAGAUUCGACCUACUUAAGCUUCAAGGUACAAAUCCUCAUU